rnacentral:rRNA from 1 species
UACAGAGGGUGCGAGCGUUAAUCGGAAUUACUGGGCGUAAAGCGCGCGUAGGCGGUUUUGCAAGUCGGGUGUGAAAUCCCCAGGCUUAACCUGGGAACUGCAUUCGAGACUGCAUUACUAGAGUAUGGGAGAGGGAAGUGGAAUUUCCGGUGUAGCGGUGAAAUGCGUAGAUAUCGGAAGGAACAUCAGUGGCGAAGGCGACUUCCUGGCCUGUUCUUGACGCUGAGGCGCGAAAGCUAGGGUAGCAAACGGG